rnacentral:lncRNA from 1 species
GACAUUUUGGGACAAAUGGAUUUGUCUGUCUCAAAAAAAUUUUAUCAGAUAAAAGCUUUGUUUUUACAGCACAGUGUCACAAUCUGCAUGCUCUCUUUUCCUGCAUCAUUUAUCAUCAUAAAUUACAUAUCCUUUCUCUGGCAGCAUACUAUAUUUAUGGAUGCCUUGGCAUAUUCUUGUAUUCUUUGCACCCAAGGAAAAUGCUUUGCUUACCUUGUCCUUGUUAUCGGAAUUGAUUUUCAAAGAUUUAAAUUGCCAUUAUUUUGUUUUUAGAAUAAAAGAUUUUAUUAAAGAAUAAAAUAGUCAUAUUGAACAUGACAAAAAAAGUAUGAG